rnacentral:tRNA from 1 species
GCCUGGCUGGCUCAGUCAGUAAAGCAUGAGACUUUUGAUCUCAGGGGUCAUGAGUUCAAGUCCCAUGUUGGAUU